CUCUCCAAAAGCAAAGCAAGGGACUAAACUGGAUCCUGUUAAAAAAGCUAACUUAACGAACCCGAAACGCUUUUUAAGUACAAGAUUGUUUUGACCUGGACGGGACAAAAGAGACUCUUGAGCUCCCCCGAUAACAAUCAAAACACUAUCACCUGGCUUACGGGAAAGAAUGCUAACACAGGAUUUCUUGGAUACUGAGUUGAUGUUUAAAGCCAUGAGAUAGUCACGGUAAACCGGCACAUAAAAGUUAGAAUUAAGGGUCAGGACAGAAACGUUGAUGCCAGGAAAUAAUUUACUAAAAUCG